GUGAAUCAUCAAAUUUUUGAACGCAUAUUGCACUUUCUGGUAUUCCGGAGAGUAUGCCUGUUUGAGAAUCAGUUAAAUAAAAAUCGCUUUUGUUUCUAAUUUUAGCAAUGAUGCAUCGGAAUAUAUUUGUCUUUACCUUUUUUGUUUAAAAUGACUUAAAAUUAUGUACGAUUUUUUGAACGUAUUUAAAUUUUUUACGUAUAUUCAUAACAUCAAAUAUAUUAGGUGCGAUCAUCCACAUGAUUUCGCUGCUAUACUUUGUCAUUAAUUGACC
rnacentral:misc_RNA from 1 species